CAAGAUAUAGCUUAAAUAAAGCAUCUAGUUUACACCUAGAAGAUUCCACAGUCCGUGUAUAUCUUGA
rnacentral:tRNA from 3 species